rnacentral:rRNA from 1 species
UGNUCUGUCACUGACGCUGAGGCUNGAAAGCGUGGGUAGCGAACAGGAUUAGAUACCCUGGUAGUNCACGCCGUAAACGAUGAGUGCUAGGUGUUAGGCCCUUUCCGGGGCUUAGUGCCGGAGCUAACGCAAUAAGCACUCCGCCUGGGGAGUACGACCGCAAGGUUGAAACUCAAAGGAAUUGACGGGGGCCCGCACAAGCGGUGGAGCAUGUGGUUUAAUUCGAAGCAACGCGAAGAACCUUACCAGGUCUUGACAUCCCGAUGCUAUUCUUAGAGAUAGGAAGUUACUUCGGUACAUCGGAGACAGGUGGUGCAUGGUUGUCGUCAGCUCGUGUCGUGAGAUGUUGGGUUAAGUCCCGCAACGAGCGCAACCCUUAUUGUUAGUUGCCAUCAUUAAGUUGGGCACUCUAGCGAGACUGCCGGUAAUAAACCGGAGGAAGGUGGGGAUGACGUCAAAUCAUCAUGCCCCUUAUGACCUGGGCUACACACGUGCUACAAUGGUCGGUACAACGAGUUGCGAGCCGGUGACGGCAAGCUAAUCUCCGAAAGCCGAUCUCAGUUCGGAUUGGAGGCUGCAACUCGCCUCCAUGAAGUCGGAAUCGCUAGUAAUCGCGGAUCAGCACGCCGCGGUGAAUACGUUCCCGGGCCUUGUACACACCGCCCGUCACACCACGAGAGUUUGUAACACCCGAAGUCGGUGAGGUAACCUUUUAGGGNCCA